ACGCUCGACACCUACGGAGGCAGCAGUAGGGAAUCUUCCACAAUGGGCGCAAGCCUGAUGGAGCAACACCGCGUGAGUGAAGAAGGGUUUCGGCUCGUAAAGCUCUGUUGUUGGAGAAGAACGUGCGUGAGAGUAACUGUUCACGCAGUGACGGUAUCCAACCAGAAAGUCACGGCUAACUACGUGCCAGCAGCCGUGGUAAUCUGAGCGGGCUGGCAAGGC
rnacentral:rRNA from 1 species